rnacentral:misc_RNA from 1 species
CAACCCUCAAGCUCUGCUUGGUGUUGAGCCCCGCCGGUCACGGCCGGGCUCUAAAAUCAGUGGCGGUGCCGCCGGGCUCUCAGCGUAGUAAUACUUCCCGCUGUAGGGUCCCGGAGGACGCUGGCCAGCAACCCCCAACUUCUCA